UACGUAGGGUGCGAGCGUUGUCCGGAAUUAUUAGGCGUAAAGGGCUCGUAGGCGGUUUGUCGCGUCGGGAGUGAAAACCCAGGGCUUAACCCUGGGCUGGCUUCCGAUACGGGCAGACUAGAGGUAUGCAGGGGAGAACGGAAUUCCUGGUGUAGCGGUGAAAUGCGCAGAUAUCAGGAGGAACACCGGUGGCGAAGGCGGUUCUCUGGGCAUUACCUGACGCUGAGGAGCGAAAGUGUGGGGAGCGAACAGG
rnacentral:rRNA from 1 species